GACAAAGGGAUCUCAUUUCUCUUCCCAUGUAUUCUCAUAAGGAACCUUGUUUAGUUUGAUGUAGGAGAAGAUGGUGGCCUGAAAGUGGACGAUCACAUGCACACGUCUGUCUCUGAUAUCUAUGCGGCAGGUGAUGUCUGCACUGCAUCCUGGGAGCCCAGCCCAGUCUGGCAGCAGUAAACAGCCUUCCUCAGCUGAACACCUCCAUCCAACUGGAUGUAGACUUCCUCCUGCCCCCCCCAGUGUUGCCUCCCUCCUAGUGGUGGAGCAGAGACACAGUUGAUGUUACAGAUAAAAGAACCAGACAACACUCGGUGAGAGACCAGCUCCACAGAGGACUGUGGACCCAGGCUAAACAGAUGGGAUGAUACGCAGCCAAGUGCAUGGCUGUAGCUACUGUAGGACACUUGACAGAGACUUCAGCUUUGACCUUUUUGCUCAUAUAACAUUUUUUAACUA